rnacentral:rRNA from 1 species
UACGUAGGGCGCAAGCGUUGUCCGGAAUUAUUGGGCGUAAAGAGCUCGUAGGCGGUUUGUCGCGUCUGCUGUGAAAUCCCGAGGCUCAACCUCGGGCUUGCAGUGGGUACGGGCAGACUAGAGUGCGGUAGGGGAGACUGGAAUUCCUGGUGUAGCGGUGGAAUGCGCAGAUAUCAGGAGGAACACCGAUGGCGAAGGCAGGUCUCUGGGCCGCAACUGACGCUGAGGAAGCGGAAAGCAUGGGGAGCGAACAGG